CUCUACACGGAAAGAUGACUAGAAACGCUGAGAUGACUGAUCUACCCUCUUAAAAAAAAUAGUCUCUAAUGUUUUCACAGAAAAACUUUGUUGGUUUUUCAGGAAGCCGCAUGGUCUUGCAAAGCACUAUUUUUAGAAGCAUGCAAAAGCUUCACUACAUUAUUCAUUCCGCUCCAAGGCCCACCACGUCUUCGAUGAAGUCCAAGCUGUGAAGUACUGUUACCAUCUGUUUGAUUGAACAUGAACAUCCGUGGAGCUCUGUUCAGUAGUCACCCUCCCUGCUUCUCAGUGUUCUCCUGUGAGCACUCUGCAGGCACCAACUGCCUUCUUUAAAUCGUCAACCAUUCUUUUCUACUCAAGGAGUCCUUGAAGUCUCAUUUUCUUCUCUGGCUAUGACACGGGGAACAAAUGACCUGACCCUUAAGCUAACAGAAUUCUCCUGCCUCCGAUCUUGCCGUGGAAGUGCUGAGAUUCCAGACACUGUUACUCUUCCCCCUCACUUGAUGUGUUCCCAUACUUGCAUGACAAGGGCUUUACCCACGGAGCCAUCUCUUCAGCCCUAAUAGGUGUAAAGAAUGAAAACAGCAAGAGAUUUGGGUCCCUCAGAACCUCAUGCUGUAAAUGUGCUGGCCGUGUGGGCACGGAUGACUUACAGAUCUCUCACAUGUGGGAUAAAUGUGGUAUUGCUGUAACAGAUGGGGUAGAAUGAAGCCAGGCCUUGCCUGAAGGUUUUCGUGUAGGCCACGUGGAGAUGCUGAAGGUCACAAGGAUUCCACGGCCUCAUCAGACUUUUUAUAUCCUCCUUUGUUAUGAAAAUCUUCUUCAGUCAAUGUUGUGUAGAGGAACGUACUUUGGAUAUGGAAGCAGUGCCUAUCUGUUGAGUUGAACUGAAAUAAGUAAAGUGUCAAAAACCUGGUAAGACAUUUCUGAUCAAUAAGAUUUUUUAAAAAAAUAGGAAAAUGCCAGGAGAAUGGCCUAGCAAUGUAGAAAGGCUUAUAAUAAAUGGCACACUUGGACAAGUGAACAAACAAUACCUUUAAUUGGCUUCAGAAAGAGAUAGCUUUCUAAGUAAACAAUCUCGUAGGUAUGAGCAGUCUUUGUUAAAGAUGUGCAGGUUAUAACAACAGCAGGUCCCACAUUGAACUCAUGAGAACAAUUCUUUCUUUUCUAAAAGUUUUAGAAACUGGUAUCUCCCAGAGGCUAUUGAACUGCUAGUAUUUUUGAUAUAUAAUUUCUGCCCUCUGAUUAAGAGGGCAUCAUAUACUUACACCGAUAAUCACUAUACUGUAUCAUAUGGCUUCUUAUAAGUGUCCUUGGUUUGAGUUAAAUAGGGUUUUAUUUUCCUCUUACAUGGAGUCAUUCUCUAUUUUAUAAAGAAAUGGGACUCACUGGAAUUAUGACAAAGGGUUAUGUGCCCCAAAAAAGGCCUGUGAGGGGCUGGGUAUUUGAACUGAUGUUCUAAUCGAAUAAUUGUAGAAAUUCUUAUGUAUUUUUCUCCCAACAUUUUGGUAUUCUCCUCUGUAAAAUAAAGGGGGUUGUACUGGAAACAUCUAAUUUAUUAUUAUUUACUAUUAUUCUAUUAUUAUUUAUUCUUAAUUUUAAAAAUAUUAUUGGGGAAGGAACAUGUGCACCACAGCAUAUAUGUGAAAGUAAAAGAACAACUUUGUGGAGUAAGUUCUCUCCUUCCUCCUUUAUAUGGGUUCUAAGGAUCAAAUUUAGGUACCCAGACAUGUACAGCAAGCUCCUUCACUCACUGAGCAGUCUUAUUGGCCUGAGACAUCUUCAAUUUUCUGUAUUUUUAUGUUAUUAUUAGAAUCACUAAUACAUUUCUACAGAUGGUGUGAUGAAUGCCAUGAAGUUGGCAUGCAUUCAAGUUAAGAUCUAAGUUUAACAGGUUUUCUAGGUUUGAAGUUCUGAGCUGUUUUAAUGCUGCUAACUGAUGUACUUGCUCCACACUGAAAGACAUCCCUGGCAGAAGAAAACAAUAACUAGCAAUCAUCAAUAAACAGAAAUGGAAGGUGACAAGGCUUUGAAAUUGUCUACUUUUUAGUAAUAAAGUCACGACUGUUCUUUGGUAUGUUCGGGAAAUUUUACAAGAAACAUUUAAAUGUUCUGUGAGGACAAUUUUGAGGAUGGAAAACCCUUAAAAUGUAAGGUUACAGUUAUUAUUUGACUGUCAAAACUGCUGUUCCCAGGGGCUUUGCUGACUCCAAACAUUUAUUGCCCUCCUGAUGUCCAUUUCUCUGCUUGUGAAGCCAUUACUUUAAGCUGCCCAACAGCUUUUUGUCCUUUAGAAUAAACUUGUUUUGUUCAGCAGUAGCCCAGCCAAGGAAACCGUGAAGCAGACAAACGUUUUCAAGUGUGUGUAUUAUCACCACCUUCACCAUUAAUUCUUCCCAAUUUUAACGAAAUAAAAUUUUACCGUUGACACAAUAGUGGUCCAUUUAAAAUGUAAGGAAAGUAGGAAAAAACAGAGAAGAAAGCAACACAUCACUUUAAGUGCUACCAUCUUAAAAUUAUGUUAUUAGCUCUAAGUAAAUAUUUUCCCAGCAUGUAUCUAUACCUCUUUGUGGCAGGGUCUCACUAAAGUUCAUGAAUACAGCAAUAAUUUUAUAAAAUGGGAUCCGAUAAUAAAUGUUUGUCAUAUUGCAUUGACUCAAGUGAGCAGGGAGCACAAUGUCCUCAUACACAAAGCCUAUGUAAACUUCUUGUUUUUCUGACAUUAGAUCAGUCCCAAGUUUUGGCUGUCUAGGCCAGCAAUCUCACUCUACUGUCCAAAAACAUAAGUGAGCUCCAGACUAUGUUUAAUAAAUUCAGAACUGUGGUGUUGUUACACUUGGCAAAACUAAGUUGACAAAGAAAUCUGUUUAUUUGGUUUAUAAAUAAAUGCUUGUAUAAAUGAAGCAUCCCUUGAGUCCCUUGGAUGAUAGUAAUUAACCCCAAAUAUUUUUAUUCAAGUGGAUGUGUUAUACUACUAGCAAUUUUGUUGGUGUUGCUCAUGAAGAUGAGAAAUGAGAUAGCAAACUAUCAUCUUGUUUUUCUUGCUAAACAAUUCUAUGAUAUGCAAGGAAUAUGGAUUUACUUUACUAAGACCCUGAGGUAGAAGAAGCUGCAUGUCGAUGAGAGAGAGGAGGGAUUCUGCAGGUGGUAGACGUCAAGAUCAUGAUGGGAGGACAUGCAGAGAUGACCGGCCACACUAGUGGAAGCCCAUGAACUGUGAACUGGUGGCUGUGGAGCCCCCAUGGGACUGAACUAGGCCCUCUGGAUAUGGAAGAUGGUUGUUUGGCUUGAAAUGUUUGGGGGGCACCCAGGCAGGGGGAUCAGGAUCCAUCCCUGGUUCAUGGGCAGGCUUUUGGGAAUCUGGUGCCUGUGGUGUGAAGCCUUGCGAAGCCUUGGUGCCGUGGGAAGGGGCUUGGACCUGCCUAGGCUCAGUGAGCUGGGCUCUGCUGAC